UACGUAGGGUGCGAGCGUUAAUCGGAAUUACUGGGCGUAAAGCGUGCGCAGGCGGUUGGUUAAGUCUGAUGUGAAAGCCCCGGGCUCAACCUGGGAAUGGCAUUGGAAACUGUCCAGCUGGAGUGUGGCAGAGGGGGGUGGAAUUCCGCGUGUAGCAGUGAAAUGCGUAGAGAUGCGGAGGAACACCGAUGGCGAAGGCAGCCCCCUGGGCCAACACUGACGCUCAGGCACGAAAGCGUGGGGAGCAAACAGG
rnacentral:rRNA from 1 species